rnacentral:lncRNA from 1 species
CUUGAGGACCCGGCUGACCCAUCUUGGGGUGCCACCAUCCAGACACGUGGUAUUCCCCAGGUCCCGAGACAAGGAAGUGACUGCAAGUAGUUUAUGUGGAAGUUCUCCCAGGGAACACCAGGAAGGACCAGGGGAAGUGACACAGGAAGGGGAGUGAAGCAGGAAACGGUGCUGCGGGGCCAGCCAGCCACCGCUGCGGGCAACUCUGGGAGCCCACACCCGGGCUCAAUCAACCCUGGGGGGAGGGGGGCAGUGUUUAUUGCCAAUCUCCGACUGUCAUUGGAGGGGCACUAACUGCGGUGCCUCCUGCUUGCCUUGGGCCAAUGUCUCAGGUGGGUCAUGAGCAGCCUUUGGAAUGUCGAGGUGCAGAGAUGGUAUUUCUUACUGUUACGGGCGAUAAAACAUCAUCGCUUCCUGGGAGCACGCUGUGGGCAUGGCCCUGUGCUGAACUCUUUCCCUGCAGCAUCUCCCCGACUCCUCAUGACAACCUGAGAGGUUAACUCUUCUAUUCUCCCCACUUUACAGAUGAGAAGACUGUGGACCCAGAGGUUAAAUUUGCAGCCCAAGGUCCCAGCUGGUGUGUGGCAGGGUUGAGACCUGAACGCAGGUCAUUGGUUAGGUUGUUCUUAACCACUCCGUGACAUGGUUUCUUGCUAAGAAAAAGACUUGACUGUUCAGUGAAAGAAACAAUAAGAGAAUGGGUGGGACCUUGAAGUGGAUGUGGGUGGGCAGAUGGUAUUCCAGGAGGGGGACAGCACAAGUAAAGGGGUAACGGUUAAGGAGUCUCCCCCAGGCAGCCUUGUCUCCCCUCUGUGGUCACUGACACAGCUGUGGGCUCAGCUGCUGUUCAAGAGGCCAGCCCGCCUUCUCCCUCGAGGCACCUGCCCCCGCCCCUCCAUCCUUCAGAGGCAGAGCUCCUAACCUUCUGCACAUCCCAGUCCAUCGGUACAUGACUCUGGGGCAAACUGAGAGGAUCUGGAGACAUUUUUAUAGAGCCUGGCAGAAAAAAAGUUACGUCUUCUUUAUCUUAUAUAAUUAUGAUAAGAACGACGUAGUGCAAAGCAUUAGAAAAGAUAUUAAACACUGAGUGGGUAUAAAACAUCCAAAUGAAAUCUCCCAGACCUCUUAAAAUGAGAGCCUUGGGCUUGCUUCCAUGAACACAACUUUUUAACAUCAGAUUUUUUGAAUGAAAUAACUAUGGGCUAUUCCUAGUCAAGAUUUUUUUUUUUUGUAAUUGAGAUAUAAUUGACAUAUUGUAUUAGUUUCAGAGGCACAACGUAAUGAUUCGAUGUAUGUACCUGUUGCAAAAUGAUCACCACAACAAGUCUAGUUAACAUCUAUCACCACACGCAUAGUUACAAAUUUUUUUAUUGUGAUGACAACUUUUAAGAUCCACUCUCUUUGCAACUUUCAAAUAUACAAAACAGUAUUGUUAACAGUAUUGUUAUGUAUGGUCGCCACGCUGUGUGGUACAUCCCCAGCACUUAUUUAUUUUAUAACUGGAAGUUUGUACCUUUCGAC